CCCUUAGAUGUUCUGGGCCGCACGCGCGCUACACUGACGAUGGCAACGAGUUUUUCCUUCGCCGAAAGGUGUGGGUAAUCUUUUGAAACAUCGUCGUGCUGGGGAUAGAUCAUUGCAAUUUUUGAUCUUGAACGAGGAAUUCCUAGUAAGCGCGAGUCUUCAGCUCGCGUUGAUUACGUCCCUGCCCUUUGUACACACCGCCCGUCGCUACUACCGAUUGAAUGGUUUAGUGAGGACUCCUGAUUGGCGCCGCCGCCCCGGCAACGGAGCAGCGGACUGCCGAAAAGUUGUUCAAACUUGAUCAUUUAGAGGAAGUAAAAGUCGUAACA
rnacentral:rRNA from 1 species